UCCCUGAGAGCUCAGUUGGUAAAGAAUCCGCCUGCAAUGCGGAUAACCCUGGUUCAAUUCCUGGGUUGGGAA
rnacentral:tRNA from 1 species